CAGGUUACAAAUCUGGCUGUCGAGAUGCCUAAAAAGCAUUUCAUAGCAAGGGCCGGGCAAGACCGGUGCCAGCCGCCGCGGUAACACCGGCGGCUCGAGUGGUAACCGUUAUUAUUGGGUCUAAAGGGUCUGUAGCCGGCCGGAUAAGUCUCUUGAGAAAUCCGGCAGCUUAACUGUUGGGCUUUCAGGAGAUACUGUCUGGCUCGAGGCCGGGAGAGGUGAGAGGUACUUCAGGGGUAGGGGUGAAAUCUUGUAAUCCUUGAAGGACCACCAGUGGCGAAGGCGUCUCACCAGAACGGACCUGACGGCAAGGGACGAAAGCUAGGGGCACGAACCGGAUUAGAUACCCGGGUAGUCCUAGCCGUAAACGAUACUCGCUAGGUGUCGGCCACGGUGCGACCGUUGUCGGUGCCGUAGGGAAGCCGUGAAGCGAGCCACCUGGGAAGUACGGCCGCAAGGCUGAAACUUAAAGGAAUUGGCGGGGGAGCACCACAACGGGUGGAGCUUGCG
rnacentral:rRNA from 1 species